AGCAGGAGGGCACCUCUGCCGCGCGGCGCGUGCGCAGAAUGGCGAGUGAGCACUCGGGAAUCGUUUUCACGAUCCGACGCGUGGAGUCUGCUUUUUAAAAAAAAAGAUAAAGUGUUCCUGUUGGAUAUUCAGGAACACAAUAUCCCUUUACCUGCACUACCAACUACUCCUGUGAUCUUGUAAACCCGUUAUACGGGGUUCACUGUGACCCUCAAGAUUCCGGGUACCCCUCGAAGUUCUUUGUGCUCCUUUGGUCUACGCCAGGCACGCUUACUCGUGGCACCCUCUCCUGGUGUCACGAACCUCCAGGCGCACCUCGCGGCACCCUCUUCUGGUGCCACGGACCUCUCAGCACCUGGCCGGCGGCCUGCCACCGAGCACCAACCAGCGCGCAUUCCACCUCCCUCGAAGACCAUCUCGCCGGGUCCCGCUACCUCCGGGACGUCACCGCACGGCACAGCAGGGAAGUACCGCCUACUGCAAGCCUUAGAGACUGUAGUGACGCCCGCGAAAACUCACGACCCUACCUACCUACUUACUACUAAAUAAAUUCUUGUGUUGAC